UAAUACAUGCAAGUCGAGCGGACAGAUGGGAGCUUGCUCCCUGAUGUUAGCGGCGGACGGGUGAGUAACACGUGGGUAACCUGCCUGUAAGACUGGGAUAACUCCGGGAAACCGGGGCUAAUACCGGAUGGUUGUUUGAACCGCAUGGUUCAGACAUAAAAGGUGGCUUCGGCUACCACUUACAGAUGGACCCGCGGCGCAUUAGCUAGUUGGUGAGGUAACGGCUCACCAAGGCGACGAUGCGUAGCCGACCUGAGAGGGUGAUCGGCCACACUGGGACUGAGACACGGCCCAGACUCCUACGGGAGGCAGCAGUAGGGAAUCUUCCGCAAUGGACGAAAGUCUGACGGAGCAACGCCGCGUGAGUGAUGAAGGUUUUCGGAUCGUAAAGCUCUGUUGUUAGGGAAGAACAAGUGCCGUUCAAAUAGGGCGGCACCUUGACGGUACCUAACCAGAAAGCCACGGCUAACUACGUGCCAGCAGCCGCGGUAAUACGUAGGUGGCAAGCGUUGUCCGGAAUUAUUGGGCGUAAAGGGCUCGCAGGCGGUUUCUUAAGUCUGAUGUGAAAGCCCCCGGCUCAACCGGGGAGGGUCAUUGGAAACUGGGGAACUUGAGUGCAGAAGAGGAGAGUGGAAUUCCACGUGUAGCGGUGAAAUGCGUAGAGAUGUGGAGGAACACCAGUGGCGAAGGCGACUCUCUGGUCUGUAACUGACGCUGAGGAGCGAAAGCGUGGGGAGCGAACAGGAUUAGAUACCCUGGUAGUCCACGCCGUAAACGAUGAGUGCUAAGUGUUAGGGGGUUUCCGCCCCCUUAGUGCUGCAGCUAACGCAUUAAGCACUCCGCC
rnacentral:rRNA from 1 species